GAGUUUGAUCCUGGCUCAGGAUGAACGCUGGCGGCGUGCUUAACACAUGCAAGUCGAGCGAAGCACUAAAACGGAUUUCUUCGGAAUGAAGUUUUAAUGACUGAGCGGCGGACGGGUGAGUAACGCGUGGGUGACCUGCCUCAUACAGGGGGAUAACAGACAGAAAUGUCUGCUAAUACCGCAUAAGCGCACAGUGCUGCAUGGCACAGUGUGAAAAACUCCGGUGGUAUGAGAUGGACCCGCGUCUGAUUAGCUAGUUGGUAAGGUAACGGCUUACCAAGGCGACGAUCAGUAGCCGGCCUGAGAGGGUGAACGGCCACAUUGGGACUGAGACACGGCCCAAACUCCUACGGGAGGCAGCAGUGGGGAAUAUUGCACAAUGGGGGAAACCCUGAUGCAGCGACGCCGCGUGAAGGAAGAAGUAUUUCGGUAUGUAAACUUCUAUCAGCAGGGAAGAAAAUGACGGUACCUGACUAAGAAGCCCCGGCUAACUACGUGCCAGCAGCCGCGGUAAUAC
rnacentral:rRNA from 1 species